UCAGUGACAGCAGCUAAUGUAGUCAUUUAAUGUUUUAUUUGAGCAUCAGGAUCCAGAAUACAACAUUUUGCCAGACGAGUUUAUGAAAGAAGCUUCAAUCUCAUGUACAUUGCUUCUUCAUUUGUGUGUUUGCAGUGCUGAUAGAUAAAGUGUAUCUGCAGGUCACAGUAGAGGGUGUUAUUGGUGGAUCUGUUGUCCUGCCGUGUUCUUCAGCUGAACAUCAUCAAGAAACUGAAGUGCAUUGGAGACACAAUAACAGCAAAAUUGUGUAUGAUAUUAUUAAAGGUAAAGAUGCAAUAGAUCAACAGGACCCACGGUACAAGAACAGAGCUAAAACUUUCCCAGAUGAGCAUCUGAGAGGAAACUUCUCCAUCAAACUCAACGAUCUUCAACACACUGAUGCAGGACAGUUCAUCUGCUUCAUCAAACCCUCAGAUAAACAGGAGACCACAAAACUGAUCAUCAAAGAAUCAACAACAGGAAAAGAAAACAAAACCACUGAACAAGUAAACCAAGGACCAGAAGCACAGUCAGACUGGAGAAAGAUAUUACUGAUCUGUGGUUGCACACUAUUACUUGUAUUAGUUGUUUUGUAAUAGUUACUCCAUACCAAAAUGAAAAUUUUGCCAUUAAUCAGUUACCCCUUUGUCGUUACAAACCCAUUUAAGCUUCAUUCAACUUUGAAACACAAUUUAAGAUAUUUUGGAUGAAAAACAAGGGAUUUUGACUGUCCUAUUGACUGCCAGUUAUGUAUGCCUUUCUGUAUGCAAAUAAAGUAAAAAUAAUGACUUUAUUCAACAAUUUGUCUCCUCCGUGUCACCGUUUAGCUCCAUUUUGGAUAGUAUCCCCUGUACGCAAACAGCGUACGCUGUUCUCUGUCAGCCACAGUUCCUUCAGCAGAGAGUCGUGCUGUUCUGGCAAUUUGUUUAUGACUGAUUAGGCAGAAUCUGCAAAAGUUCUCAACGAUGAAGUUUUCGUGGAAGCCUGCAAGGCCGUGUGCUCCAAGGUUAUCAGCACAGACACAAAACACAGUUCCUUUCACGUACUGCUGUAGAACCGGAACAAACAUCCCCACCUGUUCAGUGUCUUUAUAUCCUUAACCAAUGGAUCAAGGAACCUCUCAUAACCAAACAAUCGCACAUCAUCAGUCUUUCCAAGAGCUGCUAGAUUAAUUAAAUUUAGACUUGAGUGGCUUUUUAAAGACAAAUUAAGAAUGACCCAAUAUACAGCCGUAAUUUAAUGAAUUUUGUGCCAAGGGUUGCAGACUUCAAAGUUGUCUAUGUAUAAACCCAAAGCAACGCCAUUCUCUUUUUCACCUAAAAGGUUGUUCUCCUUGUAGUAUCUUCCAUCCUGAAAAGACUUGUAUUGGCCAGACAAAGACUCAAGAUCAUUUUUCAGUUCUGUCUCUGUGUCAUCUUCUCUUAAGUCCUUAUUUACUAAUCUGAAAUCUUGUAUGGUGUGAUUUGUAUGUUUUUUUGUUCUUUGACUGGUAAAGCUAGAACGAUUGUUGGUUUUAAAUGCACAUUUCUGGAAGGGGCACGGGUUAGUUUCUUUAUUUUGUCUUCCAAGGUGAGCAAAGUACUGGGUUUCAGUACAAAAUCAA